UCCCAAUACCACUCAACAAAAUGGCAUUGUAGAAAGAAAAUUGGUAAAUCUCACUUCAACAAGUCUUGCAUGGUUACAUGAUAAAAUCUCCCCCAAGAGCUUUGGGCUCAAGCUUUUUAAUGUGCAUACCAUGUAAUAAAUCAUUUACCAUUAUGGCUAGAUAAAAAAAAUUAUCCUUUUUAGAUCUUGUAUAAUGUAAAACCAAAUGCAAAUUACUUUUGGGUAUUUGGUUUAAUU
rnacentral:lncRNA from 1 species